GACUUGCCUAGUUAAAUAAAAACGUUUUUUUAUUUUUAUUUGGUAAAUACCACCUUCCCAUUUGGUUUCGAAUGACGCAUUCAUUUACGCUCACGUUUCCCCAAGUACAGAUUCCCAUUUGACGCUAUUACACUGAAGUACCGCCUUUUAAAGAUUUGUUGGGCAUUAUCAAAUAGUCAUUGGGCAUUAUCCACAGCUCCCGUUUGAAGGCUACAACGUGAGUACAUUUCGGUAGUCAACAGACUGAGCUAAAAGUUGGAUACUUUGACGUUAAUUGCUCGGUGGAACUUUGUAACGCCUGUAGGAAAGUGUAUUCUGGAUAAAGCAAGGAGUCUUUAUUGGGACAGCUGUCAUUUUAAAGUUAGUUUCAAUUGACACAGUUGAGAUGCUAUCGUGUUCUGAAUACGGUAUAAUAGUAUUUGGUUACACCGUCCAAGUUGAAAAACAUCAUGCUCCAUAUUUUACAACCCUGCACUGUUGGAAAGAACCCGCUGAGAUGGCAGUUGUCAUAGUCUAACUAAGCCUGUGAGGGCUGGGGCCGGAGCGAGUGACUGCCCA
rnacentral:lncRNA from 8 species